rnacentral:RNase_MRP_RNA from 1 species
AAGCACGGCUUCGCAGCGCGCACACGGGGAGCUUGCUCCCAGAGAUGCUGCGAGGAAAGUCCCCGUGCCUUGGUGCAGAGAGUGCGAGUGGGAGACCGCAGGGCUCUUUCCAGACCUCCAGUGGUGAUGCUUCUCGCGGAGCCUUGGUGGCAGGCCCUCUCGUGGAGCCUUGGUGGCGGUCUCGGGCCCUUCGCAUCAGCACAGACAUGCCGUGAGUGCUCAUGAUUGGAGCGCCAACAGAACGGGGUUCAC